UAAGGAACUAGGCAAAAUCGACCCGUAACUUCGGGAGAAGGGUCGCCCAUCUUCGGAUGGGCCGCAGUGAAGAGGUCCAGGCGACUGUUUAUCAAAAACACAGGGCUAUGCUAAAUCGAAAGAUGAUGUAUAUGGCCUGACACCUGCCCGGUGCUGGAAGGUUAAGUGGAGUUGUUAGCUUCGGCGAAGCAAUCAAAUGAAGCCCCAGUAAACGGCGGCCGUAACAAUAACGGUCCUAAGG
rnacentral:rRNA from 1 species